UAACUAGUGGAAAGAAGAUGACGCUUU
rnacentral:sRNA from 1 species